UCCUGCAGCUCUUUGGAGCUGGAAGUGGGGGGACGCAGAGCAUUUCUACAGGGGAGAAUUUUUGCUUCACCUCAGGCUCACUCCCAGUCCUUCUGACAUGCUGUCAGCACCCUCUAUCCACUUCAGCAGCCUAGGCGAGCAAGAAAGGGUCGAGUGGAUGACUGUUACUGUUAAGGCCCGAAGCUUAAGACAGGAUUUUGAUUUAUAUUCCUGGUUUUGCGUGUUUCUGAACUGGAGGAAAUGAAAAAAACAAACAAACAAACCACGGACUGUUUUCAAACUACUUUUGAAGGAUUGAAGCUUGAAAACAAUGGUGAGGUGGAAGCCCUUAGACUGGAAAGCCAUUGCCAAUCAAAGUGACAGUACUAGACUAGAUGGACCUGAACAUUACAAAGCAAAGAUUCUUAUGAGAGCUGGGCUGGCUUUUAGUAGGAAUCUGACAAUAGACUGUUUCCAAACCAGUAACAGCUUCACUUUACUUAGUGAAUGGUGGAAAAACAGAAGCCACUGAUAGUCAUUCUCUCUCUCUUUUUUUUAAAAUGGCUGAAAUUCCACAAGAUAGGUGAAGUUCUCAAGAUUUCUGCCUUUUCACAUAAGAUCUUAUGAUAUUUGGGCCGUGUUUGACUUUUUAAUUAAAAAGGAAAAUGAAGGAAGCAACAUCCUGAAAAACUGCAGUUGCUAACCCCUGGUACCACAGGUUUCCUGUAUCUUUCGUGCGAACUCCCCCUCUGCAACAAAAUCGAUCCUGCUGCACAAGAAGGAGAGUGGAAAAUACAACCCUGAUGAAAUUUCACCUGGUAUUCGCACACCGUCAUGGCAAUAAUGUAGUAUCAUUUGCAGACAGAAGCUGUUCCACUCAGUGAGAUACACGGUCUCGGGGUUGAUAGAUAUCUUCAAACAGUGCUUGGUUAAAUGUUCAUGAUUCUGUUGCCAUGGGAAUAUUCAUAGGCUAGUCAUAGCUCUGAGGCGUGAAAAGGUCCAGAAAAACCACAAACACACACAGAGUGUACUUUGGUGGCAUAUUGCUUGAGUGGAGUCACAAACAAAUCAAUCUUUGGGGAGGAAAAUCCCCCAAAGCUGAGAUUUAUGGCAUUAGUUAUGGCUAUGAGUGCUCCUGCCUUGCUUUUCCUUCUCUCUCUCUCUCCCUCUCUCUCUCCCUCCCUCCCUCCCCCCUGUCUCUGCAACCCUGUCUAGCAUUACACCCUAAAUUCAACAAAACAAUAAUACAUUGCUAAAGAGGGAUUGAUUUUUCCAGCAGACAUUGUUGUAGCCAUUACAGGGGAAUCUAUGUGAUAUAUUUGCAAUUGUUUUCUCCAAGAUCUAAUGGAUUAUUACAUAGGUUAGAUGAAGGUCUCCUUUGCGUUCUGUCUUCUACAGCAUAUGUAGAAAGAUCUUUAUUGUCCCGAUCACUGGAAGUUCAGCCAAUACAUGGCAGUCAUGCAUUGAUGAUUAGAGAAUCUCUCCAAGGACAUAUCGCAAUGAGAUGGUACUUCCAUUUUUGUCUGCAGCAAUUGCUUUGAUAAAUUUGCUCCGUUUUAGGGUUUAUUUGUGACUGUCCAGCCUCAUUAAUGCCUCCGGGCAAAUCUGAAGAAAGCAUCAAGCUGAUAGGUAGGUAUCAAUCACAGAGGAGCUUCUUUUGUGAGAAGGAACAAUGCAGACAUCAUGUAGCCGUGCUUUUGUGAUUUGUGCUACCACAAUAAGCUAUUUAUGGAAUCCUACUCAUGAGCCCUAAGCAUAACAGCUUAAGAUACCACUACCAGGAAAAUGGUGAAAUUCCCCAUUCAUGAUUUGAAGAAUAUGUAAGAUAAAGCAAUAAAAACAUCCUAAAGUAAAGCCCAGUUUCUGAGGACUAAAUGUACAAAUGCAUGUAAUUUUCUUGGCACCGACACCAACAUGUUUUACCAUUGUCAUCUUCUGGGAUGAUUUCCUAACUUUUUCUUUUAAUUUAGUAAAGCAUAGGACUUCUUCAUGUCAUCCAAAUACUAAGCAGGUUUGAGCUUGCUUAGCUUUUCAAAAUCAGCCGAUUUUAGGCAGGAAAGCAUCCUUUUAAUAUGCAUUAGCUAUGAACAGGUAGCCAUCACCAUGAUAAACAAAAUCAAGAUUGCAAUAAAUGAGAGCCAGGAGAACAGUAUAAAUUGUAUUAAACAGUAUAAAUAGUAUUAAUAUAUUGGGCACCUUAAUAUACAGUAGUUGCAAAGCCUAGAUUCUUUUUCAGUCAUAUAUUACUUAGCAUUAAAAUGAAUAACCUUUUCUGUUCUUUUACAUGUUUAUUUAUAUUUGUAUUGAGAUUUAAAUGAAUAAGAAUCUUCUAUUUUAUACUCAGCUUUAUUUAUAUGCUCAGAAACAAAACAAAAUCUGUUUGUGAUCCAAGUAAGCCUCUCAUAGUUAUCUUAUUGCGGAGAUGGAGGGCGGCAUAUACAUUUAAUAAACAAACAAGCAAUGAGAGUUGGUUUACCAAAAAUUAUCUAUCUAGUGGUUAGAAUGUGGCGCAGUGGUUAGAAUGGAGUAUUGCAGGCUACUUCUGCUGAUCACCGGCUGCCAGCAGUUCGGCAGUUCAAGUCUCACUGGCUCAAGGUUGACUCAGCCUUCCAUCCUUCCAAGGUUGUUAAAAUGAGGACCCAGAUUGUUGGGGGCAAUAUGCUGACUUUUUUAAUUGCUUAGAGAGGGCUGUAAAGCACUGUGAAGUGGUAUAUAAAUCUAAGUGCUAUUGCUGUUGCUAGUGUGAUCAAGCUAUCUUUCUGAUAAAAGAAGGUUGCAAUUACAGAAGAAUUACUGUUUGUUCUAGUACAUGUGUCAAAUUUAAUUUCUAAUAUACCCAUUUUAUAGGAUGUCAGAGUUGAAAAGACUGUUCCUGACAUGUACAAAAUUGCCACCAGUGAAUAACAAGCAAACAAUAGUCUGCAUGACUGUUAAGGCAGCUUCUUAUGAAUAUGUUACAAUGAAAUCUGAAACUAUAUCAGUGGUGCUUUAGUGGUUUAAAAAACAAGUCCAGGGUUAGAAUUCGGCAUAUUAAACCUUGACUGAAAUACCCACUCAGCCCUGCAGAUGAUGAAACUACAGUGGACCAAUGGUUCCCUUUUGCUAACCUCACAAAGAUGUAAAUUUUUUUCUUUCUUUUUUGUGAAAAUAAAUUAACAUCGCAGGCAGGACUAAAUUACUGUCUCUCUUAGAAACAGAUCUUUCUGGAUCCAAUGCUAGUAAUUUGACCUUAUAUUGUUUAGGGGAUGGCUCCUCACACAUUACUUUUCAGGUUUCUAAUUUUUUUUAAAGAGCUGUAACUAUUAGAGGAGAACGAUGUAAUUCCUCUCAGCCAAGGCUUCUGGUAGCCAACUGUUUAUGAUAUUAUUUUCCCCAUGUUCUUUUGCAAUUAUAUUUGUACUUUGGUCUGUGACUGCAAAUAAAACUUAUUAUUAAAUUAA